CGCCGUGUCGCCGUGGUCUGCUCGUUUCUGUUGUUAUGCUUUGAAUGAUAUUUUGUUAUUGUAGCGCAAUAUUAAAUCUGACCUUGUUGCCAUCGAAAAAAAUGGGACGCACGGUUGCGGAGCGGGGCGGGUCACACGCGAAAGGAAGCGCUGAAUAAUCAUUACGCUGCUGUCAUAUCGAUAACAACAACAACAACAGCCGCAGCAGCAGCAGCAAUGAGACGACACUAACAGUAGCCGUAGCAGCAGCAGCAACAACAAUCGAGUGUUAGCCAUGGUCACAUUUAAAUAAAUGGCCCACAUUUGUAUCGCUGACUAUUAGCUGAUGGCUCAGUGGUUUGCUCAAUUGUUGGCUGACAUAGAAAGGCAAGUGCCAAACCGGAAUGGCAUCGAUUACGAUAACAAUCAGAAGCGGAAACAAUUAGCAAACGGGCGACGGUGACGACGACUACGACGACGGCGGCGAAUUGGCAGCUUGCGAAUAUGGCGAGCAAAACAAAAGCGAAAAACCAAAAGACAGCCAGCUCACACACAGCUUGGGCAAUCAGAAUGGCAAUGCGAACAACGGGCAUGGAAAUGAAAAUGGCAGUGAGAAGCAAAACAUCCGCCGCCGCAAAGCCAAAGCCAAACUUAAAAGGUGUGUGUGUGUGUGUGUAAGGCAACGGAAGCCGCGGGCGGUGCGGCAACCGUCAUCUGUGAUUUCGUUUCACACAGUGUACGAAAAAGUGGGGAAGCCAAUUGUGGAAGAACCCUUAAGUUUAGCCCAUUUGUCAUUUGCGUGCGUUAAUAGUUUUCCGGAACUCGUUUCAAGUGCUUCCGUCCAAGGAAGUGCGUAAAACCAAGCCAAGAAUCCGUCAAGGAAUCGAAUUCGUAUGAAGCCGCAAUUUUAAUUAUACCUGUGUGUGUGUGUGAGUGUGCCCAGUUCAUUGCCAGCAGCGCGUUAUUUCCCACGAACACCGAAUUCGACGGGCGUAAGCAAAUGAAAUGAAUCAACAAAUAUGAAAAAAACAGAAAACUCUUUUCGCUGUUCUCUUUGUUUGCUCGCCAGGAAGCCACACACAAUGCCCCGCUUGGAAGCUGCCACAAGAGCCACUUGUUGAGGUAACUCUGUGCUGGUGCAUAAUUCGAAUAAAUGCGCAAGGCAAAAGGAAGUAAGCGCUUGACACGAACCCACAAACUCUAGUCGCGGUUGCCCAACUCGCAGAUAUCCCUCACUCGGCUGCGUGCUCUAAACAUAGCAAGAUAACUUCUGUGUUUCGUGUUAAAUAAAUAAAUUUUGUUAGAAAAAUAAAUUGAUGUGAAUAGUGCCGCGUCCUGAGAAGACAUUUGAAUAAUGGGCGCACAUAUAAUAAAACACCAUCUUGGUCUUUAUUGCA